UACGGGGGGAGCAAGCGUUGUUCGGAUUUACUGGGCGUAAAGGGCGCGUAGGCGGCCACCGCAAGUCGACUGUGAAAUCUCCGGGCUUAACCCGGAAAGGUCAGCCGAUACUGCGGGGCUAGAGUGCAGAAGGGGCAACUGGAAUUCUCGGUGUAGCGGUGAAAUGCGUAGAUAUCGAGAGGAACACCAGUGGCGAAGGCGAGUCUCUGGACGACUCCUGACACUGAGGCACGAAAGCUGGGGGAGCAAACAGG
rnacentral:rRNA from 1 species